rnacentral:rRNA from 1 species
UACGUAGGGGGCAAGCGUUGUCCGGAUUUAUUGGGCGUAAAGAGCGUGUAGGCGGUUUGGUAGGUCCGCUGUGAAAACUCGAGCUCAACCUUGAGACGCCGGUGGAAACCAUCAGACUAGAGUCCGGAAGAGGAGAGUGGAAUUCCUGGUGUAGCGGUGAAAUGCGCAGAUAUCAGGAAGAACACCCGUGGCUAAGGCGGCUCUCUAGUACGGUACUGACGCUGAGACGCGAAAGCGUGGGGAGCAAACAGG